ACGGGAGGCAGCAGUGGGGAAUAUUGCACAAUGGGGGAAACCCUGAUGCAGCGACGCCGCGUGGAGGAAGAAAGUCUUCGGAUUGUAAACUCCUGUUGUUGGGGAAGAUAAUGACGGUACCCAACAAGGAAGUGACGGCUAACUACGUGCCAGCAGCCGCGGUAAAACGUAGGUCACAAGCGUUGUCCGGAAUUACUGGGUGUAAAGGGAGCGCAGGCGGGAAGACAAGUUGGAAGUGAAAUCUAUGGGCUCAACCCAUAAACCGCUUUCAAAACUGUUUUUCUUGAGUAGUGCAGAGGUAGGCGGAAUUCCCGGUGUAGCGGUGGAAUGCGUAGAUAUCGGGAGGAACACCAGUGGCGAAGGCGGCCUACUGGGCACCAACUGACGCUGAGGCUCGAAAGUGUGGGUAGCAAACAGGAUUAGAUACCCUGGUAGUCCACACCGUAAACGAUGAUUACUAGGUGUUGGAGGAUUGACCCCUUCAGUGCC
rnacentral:rRNA from 1 species